rnacentral:rRNA from 1 species
GAUGAACGCUGGCGGCGUGCCUAAUACAUGCAAGUCGAGCGAAUGGAUUAAGAGCUUGCUCUUAUGAAGUUAGCGGCGGACGGGUGAGUAACACGUGGGUAACCUGCCCAUAAGGCUGGGAUAACUCCGGGAAACCGGGGCUAAUACCGGAUAACAUUUUGAACCGCAUGGUUCGAAAUUGAAAGGCGGCUUCGGCUGUCACUUAUGGAUGGACCCGCGUCGCAUUAGCUAGUUGGUGAGGUAACGGCUCACCACGGCAACGAUGCGUCGCCGACCUGAGAGGGUGAUCGGCCACACUGGUCAUGGGACACGGCCCAGCCUCCUACGGGAGGCAGCAGUAGGGAAUCGUCCGCAAUGGACGAAAGUCUGACGGAGCAACGCCGCGUGAGUGAUGAAGGCUUUCGGGUCGUAAAACUCUGUUGUUAGGGAAGAACAAGUGCUAGUUGAAUAAGCUGGCACCUUGACGGUACCUAACCAGAAAGCCACGGCUAACUACGUACCAGCCGCCGCCGUAA